UACUUUUCUGUUACAUUUUCUAGUGGUCUGCCCAGCCCUAUUCAUCAAUAAUUAUACUUUAAUGCUUAUAGCUAGAUAUCUAAAACGUUUCUUAAGUCCGUCUACAGUGACCUUCUAACCAAUGUCAAUCCGUUUAAUACUGUUUUAAUUCCACAUAUCUCUCCUCAAUCCCUCUAUGAACAUUGAGGUUUUUUGAGAGUAAU